UUUCCGUAGGUGAACCUGCGGAAGGAUCAUUCAUAAUAAAGUGUUUUAUGGCACUUUUUAAAAAUCCAUAUCCACCUUGUGUGCAAUGUUAGAUCUCGUCAAUCUUGGCGAGGUUUUUAUACAUCAACUCAUUCUUUAACUAAUUUGUCUGAAAAAUAUUAUGAAUACUUAAUUCAAAAUACAACUUUCAACAACGGAUCUCUUGGCUCCC
rnacentral:misc_RNA from 1 species